rnacentral:rRNA from 1 species
UGUAGUCAUAUGCUUGUCUCAAAGAUUAAGCCAUGCAUGUCUAAGUACAUACCUUUGCACGGUGAAACCGCGAAUGGCUCAUUAAAUCAGUUAUGGUUUCUUAGAUCGUUCUUUUUACAUGGAUAACUGUGGUAAUUCUAGAGCUAAUACAUGCAAAAAGCUCCGACCGUAUGGGAAGAGCGCUUUUAUUAGACCAAAACCAAUGGGGUCGCAAGACUCCUUUGUAUGGUGACUCUGGAUAACUUUAUGCUGAUCGCAUGGCCUAGAGCCGGCGACGUAUCUUUCAAGUGUCUGACCUAUCAACUUUCGAUGGUAAGCGAUUUGCCUACCAUGGUUGCAACGGGUAACGGGGAAU